rnacentral:rRNA from 1 species
CGGCCUUAGUGGCGCACAGGUGCGUAACGCGUAGGGAACCUGCCCCUCGGUUCGGAAUAACCAGUUAGAAAUGACUGCUAAUACCGGAUGAUGACGUUCGGUCCAAAGAUUUAUCGCCGAGGAUGGGCCCGCGUAGGAUUAGCUAGUUGGUGGGGUAAAGGCCUACCAAGGCGACGAUCCUUAGCUGGUCUGAGAGGAUGAUCAGCCACACUGGGACUGAGACACGGCCCAGACUCCUACGGGAGGCAGCAGUGGGGAAUAUUGGACAAUGGGCGAAAGCCUGAUCCAGCAAUGCCGCGUGAGUGAUGAAGGCCUUAGGGUUGUAAAGCUCUUUUACCAGGGAUGAUAAUGACAGUACCUGGAGAAUAAGCUCCGGCUAACUCCGUG